AAGGUAGCGAAAUUCCUUGUCGGGUAAGUUCCGACCUGCACGAAUGGCGUAACGAUUUCCCCACUGUCUCCAACAUAGACUCAGUGAAAUUGAAUUCUCGGUUAAGAUGCCGAGUAACCGUGGUUAGACGGAAAGACCCCGUGCACCUUUACUGCAGCUUUGUAUUGGUAUUAGGGGACAGAUGUGUAGCAUAGGUGGGAGACUUUGAAGGAGUGGCGCUAGCCAUUCUGGAGUCACCAGUGAAAUACCACUCUUCUGUUCCUUGAUGCCUAACCAUACACCGUUAUCCGGUGUUGGGACCAUGCAUGGUGGGCAGUUUGACUGGGGCGGUCGCCUCCCAAAGAGUAACGGAGGCGCGCGAUGGUAGGCUCAGAACGCUUGGAAACCGUUCGUCGAGUGCAAUGGCAUAAGCCUGCCUGACUGCGAGACCCACAAGUCGAGCAGAGACGAAAGUCGGUCAUAGUGAUCCGGUGGCACUUCGUGGAAGGGCCAUCGCUCAACGGAUAAAAGGUACGCCGGGGAUAACAGGCUGAUCUCUCCCAAGAGUCCAUAUCGACGGGGAGGUUUGGCACCUCGAUGUCGGCUCAUCGCAUCCUGGGGCUGAAGCAGGUCCCAAGGGUUUGGCUGUUCGCCAAUUAAAGCGGUACGCGAGCUGGGUUUAGAACGUCGUGAGACAGUUCGGUCCCUAUCUGCCAUGGUUGUGGAAGCUUGAGAGGAUCUGCCCUUAGUACGAGAGGACCGGGGUGGACGUACCUCUGGUGUACCUAUUGUAGCGCCAGCUGCAUCGUAGGGUAGCUAUGUACGGAAUGGAUAACCGCUGAAAGCAUCUAAGCGGGAAGCCAACCUCAAAACUAGGCUUCGUUAUAGGAUCGUGGAAGACUACCACGUUGAUAGGCUAGGUGUGGAAGUGUGGUAACACAUGAAGCUAACUAGUACUAAUAAUCCAAUGCUUGAAUUA
rnacentral:rRNA from 1 species